rnacentral:rRNA from 1 species
GAUGAACGCUGGCGGCGUGCCUAACACAUGCAAGUCGAACGGAGUCCAGCCUUUAAGACCUUCGGGUCAAAGAGGGGAAGACUGAGUGGCGGACGGGUGAGUAACACGUGGGCAACCUGGCUCAUAGAGGGGGAUAACAUAGAGAAAUUUCUGCUAAUACCGCAUAAGCACACACUGCCGCAUGGCAGAGGGUGAAAAGAGAAUCGCUAUGAGAUGGACCCGCGUCUGAUUAGCCAGUUGGCAGGGUAAGAGCCUACCAAAGCGACGAUCAGUAGCCGAUCUGAGAGGAUGAACGGCCACAUUGGGACUGAGACACGGCCCAAACUCCUACGGGAGGCAGCAGUGGGGGAUAUUGCACAAUGGGGGGAACCCUGAUGCAGCGACGCCGCGUGAGUGAAGAAGUAUUUCGGUAUGUAAAGCUCUAUCAGCAGGGAAGAUAAUGACAGUACCUGAAUAAGAAGCCCCGGCUAACUACGUG